GAAAGUCGUGUGCAAUGAAAAAUGCAAGCACGAUUUGGGGAGAGGUUUUUUCUCUAUUGUAUAUGGCUUGAGUUAUCCUUCUCAUAU
rnacentral:ribozyme from 1 species